rnacentral:lncRNA from 1 species
GAGUGGUAGGGAAAUGUCAUGCGCCCCGACCUGCGCAGUAGUGUGUGGUCAGGAGCGAUGUGGAGGUGAAUAGGCAAACACUGCCCUCUGUCUGUACAAGGCCCUUGAGCAUUUACAGAAACACCAGCCAGGUCAUCCUGGCCUGCAGCCACCCGGGCCCUUAGGGAUGGGGACAGGUUGCAGGCAGUGUCUAGAGUGGCUUGCCAUCUCUCCCUAGGAUGGUGGAUGUGGGCGGGCAGAGGUCAGAGCGCAGGAAGUGGAUCCAUUGCUUUGAGAAUGUCACGUCCAUCAUGUUCUUGGUGGCAUUAAGCGAGUAUGACCAGGUCCUGGUGGAGUCGGACAACGAGAACCGCAUGGAGGAGAGCAAGGCCCUGUUCCGCACAAUCAUCACCUACCCCUGGUUCCAGCACUCGUCUGUGAUCCUCUUCCUCAACAAGAAGGACCUUCUGGAAGACAAGAUCCUGCACUCACACUUGGUCGACUACUUCCCCGAGUUCGAUGGGCCACAGAGGGACGCACAGGCCG